UACGUAGGGUCCAAGCGUUAUCCGGAAUCACUGGGCGUAAAGCGUGCGUAGGUGGUCUGUUAAGUGAGAUAUUAAAGCGUGUGGCUCAACCAUAUCGUUGUGUCUCAUACUGGCAGACUAGAGGACGGCAGAGGCAAGUGGAAUUACUAGUGUAGCAGUGAAAUGCGUAGAUAUUAGUAGGAACACCAAUGGCGAAGGCAGCUUGCUGGGCCGCCCCUGACACUGAGGUACGAAAGCGUGGGGAGCGAACAGG
rnacentral:rRNA from 2 species